AUACGAAAGGUGCAAGCGUUGUUCGGAUUUACUGGGCGUAAAGAGAGUGUAGGUUGUUUAUUAAGUCGGAUGUGAAAUCCCGGGGCUCAACCUCGGAACUACAUUCGAUACUGAUAGGCUAGAGUUUGGGAGGGGUAAGCGGAAUUCCGUGUGUAGCAGUGAAAUGCGUAGAUAUACGGAGGAACACCUGAGGCGAAGGCGGCUUACUGGACCAAUACUGACACUGAGACUCGAAAGCGUGGGUAGCAAACAGGAUUAGAAACCCCAGUAGUCC
rnacentral:rRNA from 1 species